GAUGAAGAACGUAGCGAAAUGCGAUAAGUAGUGUGAAUUGCAGAAUUCCGUGAAUCAUCGAAUCUUUGAACGCACAUUGCGCCUUCUGGUAUUCCGGAAGGCAUGCCUGUUCGAGAGUCAUUAACAACCGUUUCGAUCCCUUUCUUUCAGAAAUUACAAAGAGAAAAAGGGUUUGGUUAUGGUGGAGGAGGGAAAGGGAGCGUUUAGCCUGUAAAAAAAGAGGCUCUGUUCCGCCUCCCCCCCAAAAUUGUACAGGCGGUCGUGUGCGCCCACGCAUCGAGGUGUUGUAAAAGCUGCCACGGCACUUUUCACCUGUGCAGUGCGAGAUUGGCCAGCCGGUUUAAAAACCCCUCCAAACAAUCAAAGGUUGACCUCGGAUCAGGUAGGGAUACCCGCUGAACUUAAGCAUAUCAAUAAGCGGAGGA
rnacentral:misc_RNA from 1 species